ACACUCCUGCGGGAGGCAGCAGUGGGGAAUAUUGGACAAUGGGCGCAAGCCUGAUCCAGCCAUGCCGCGUGAGUGAUGAAGGCCCUAGGGUUGUAAAGCUCUUUCACCGGUGAAGAUAAUGACGGUAACCGGAGAAGAAGCCCCGGCUAACUUCGUGCCAGCAGCCGCGGUAAUACGAAGGGGGCUAGCGUUGUUCGGAUUUACUGGGCGUAAAGCGCACGUAGGCGGACUAUUAAGUCAGGGGUGAAAUCCCGGGGCUCAACCCCGGAACUGCCUUUGAUACUGGUAGUCUUGAGUUCGAGAGAGGUGAGUGGAAGUCCGAGUGUAGAGGUGAAAUUCGUAGAUAUUCGGAGGAACACCAGUGGCGAAGGCGGCUCACUGGCUCGAUACUGACGCUGAGGUGCGAAAGCGUGGGGAGCAAACAGGAUUAGAAACCCCUGUAGUCCCAUG
rnacentral:rRNA from 1 species